GGCGUCGUGGACGAGGGGCGUGUCGGGGAUCGUGAUCCCGGCGAUGGUCUCGGGCAUGGGAACUCCUCGCGUUCGAACGGUGCCGGCCCUCC
rnacentral:tRNA from 1 species